CCGCGGCGCCUGCUUCCGGCGCGGUGCGGCGACCUCCGCGGGGCAAGGCGGGCGGCGAGCCAGGGCCGCGGGGGCGGCGGCCACGCUCCGGCCCGGCCCGCUGCUGCCCUCGGCCCCGCGCCCCGGCCCCGGCCUCGCGCCGCCAUGGGCAAGAAGCACAAGAAGCACAAGACCGAGUGGCGCUCGUCCUACGAGGAUUACACAGACAAGCCCCUGGAGAAGCCCCUGAAGCUGGUCCUCAAAGUCGGAGGAAGUGAAGUGACGGAGCUCUCGGGGUCUGGGCACGACUCCAGUUACUACGACGACAGGUCAGACCACGAGCGCGAGCGGCACAGAGAAAAGAAGAAGAAGAAGAAGAAGAAAGCGGAGAAGGAGAAGCAUCUCGAUGAGGAAGAGAGAAGGAAGAGGAAGGAGGAGAAGAAGCGGAAGCGGGAGAAGGAGCACGGGGACACGGAGGGCGAGGCCGAUGACUUUGAUCCGGGGAAGAAGGUGGAGGUGGAGCCGCCCCCCGACCGGCCCGUGCGCGCCUGCCGGACCCAGGCGGCGGAGCAGGAGAGCACGCCCAUCCGGCAGCUGCUGGAGCACUUCCUGCGCCAGCUCCAGAGGAAAGAUCCUCACGGAUUUUUUGCUUUUCCGGUCACGGAUGCGAUUGCGCCUGGUUACUCCAUGAUAAUAAAACACCCCAUGGAUUUCGGCACGAUGAAGGACAAGAUUGGGGCCAACGAGUACAAGUCGGUCACAGAAUUUAAGGCAGAUUUUAAGCUGAUGUGUGAUAACGCCAUGACCUACAACAGACCAGACACCGUGUAUUACAAGUUAGCCAAGAAGAUCCUUCACGCGGGCUUUAAGAUGAUGAGCAAAGAGCGGCUGCUGGCUCUGAAGCGCAGCGCGCCGUUUAUGCAGGACGUGGAUUUCUCCCAGCAGGCAGCUCUUCUGGGCAGCGAAGACCCCGCCGUCGAGGAGCCCGUGCCCGAGGUGACGCCCGUGCAAGUAGAGACUGCCAGGAAAUCCAAAAGGCCGAGUAGAGAGGUCAUCAGCAGACGCGUCUGGUGUGCCAAAAGGACAGGGCUAAGCUGCAUGUUCGAGCCGGAAGGAAAUGCCUGCAGCCUGACCGACAGCACCGCGGAGGAGCACGUGCUGGCCUUGGCGGAACACGCGGCCGACGAGGCUCGGGACAGGGUCAGCAGGCUCCUCCCAGGGGGCAAGAUGGGCUACCUGAGGAAGAACGGGGACGGUGGCCUGCUCUACAGCGUGGUCAACACGGCCGAGCCGGACGCCGACGAGGAGGAGACCCACCCCGUGGACCUGAGCUCGCUCUCCAGCAAGCUGCUCCCCGGCUUCACCACGCUGGGCUUCAAAGACGAGAGAAGGGGCAAAGUGACGUUUUUGUCCAGUGCCACCACCGCACUGUCGACGCACAACUCAGUAUUCGGAGACUUGAAAUCGGAUGAAACCGAGCUGCUUUACUCUGCCUACGGAGACGAGACGGGCGUGCAGUGUGCGCUGAGCCUGCAGGAGUUUGUGAAGGACGCUGGGAGCUACAGCAGGAAACUGGUGGACGACCUGCUGGACCAGAUCACCGGUGGGGACCACUCGCGACUGCUCUUCCAGCUGAGGCAGAAAAACUUGAAAACAAAAAAAGUUGUUUCUGUUGACCGUGCGUUUGCGGUUUCUGGCAGCCGUGAGAACUUCACAUAUGCCCGAGUUGUCUCCGUCUGCUGUCAUUUUCCUUCGUCUAAGAACCUUCUUUAGCAAUGUGUCUUCUGUUGUAGACGUGGCUGACGGUGAAUUCACUCAGCUUCUUAUUAUCCGGAAAACGUCUUUACUUUUCCUGUAUCUUUGGAGUCCGUCUUCCCUGGGUCUGGCAUCACAGGGGCAUCUUCCCGGCCACUUGAGAAGGUGCCUGAGCGCAGUGUCCGAAGUGUCUGUGGCCUUUUCAUCUGCUCUCCGCUUGUCCCCUGUCCUCUGGGCCCAUCGGGGAUCGGCAGACGUGGGCCUGUGAGCUUCGCGUGUUCUACUUUCCUUAAAGGCUGUAAACAAAAGAGGGGUGUGCUACAGACCUUACGUGGCCCGCGAGGCCCUGCGUGUUUGCUCUUCGGGCCUCUGGAGGAAGUUGACGGACCCGUCGUGGAUGCUUCUCGACUGGAGCCCGUGGAGCGCCGUGCGGCGGCUCGUGGCUCGUGCCGUUCUGUGCACUCCGCCCACCGGCUGCCCAGCUUCUCGCGCCUGUCUGCGUGCGGUUUCCGUCAGAUCAGGAGGCGUUUGUCCGUUAUUUCCUCAAACGCCGUUUCUGCCCACAGCCCACGUCCGUCAUCUGUCCAGCAUGUCCGCACAGGUGCUAGCGGUCCUGACCCAUUCUGCGUCUGGAACGCUCUGUUCCUUGUCACUCAUCUCCCUCCUUUGGAGUUGGGUUCCGGAGCCGUGGUUCCAGUCACGUGACGUGGUAAGGGCCACGUCCACAUCUCCUGUUGCCCGGGAACCUCUCAUCUGGGGCUGCAUUCGUCUUCGCUCUGCCUGGGACUUUCUUGCGUCCGCACUUGGCUCUGUGCUCCUGAUCUCCUCUCGGUCUUUGGACCGAUUUCUAAUGCUUCCCACGGCGGCCUCUCAGGUCGUCCGCUCUCCCCUCUGUCACUUCUGCGUUCGCGACAGCGGGUUUCCCUCUGCAGGCGGCGGUCGGGUUCUGGGGGCCGCGCUGUUGAACGUGCGGUGCGGGCUGUGCCGACCGAGCAGCCGGCAGCCACGAGCGGCUGGUGCGAGCCUUAUUGCGGCUCAUUGGAACGCGGAUGUGCUGGGAACGUGAGCCACGAGCAUAACUGUAGCGGCCGGAACAGAAAAUGAAACGCGAAAGUACUUCUUGGGUUUAUCCGGAUCAUACGUCAAAGUAAAAAAUGUUUUAGUCCGAGAUACGUUACCGUCAGUUGUGCGCGGACGUUAACUUUCGUUGGCUGCAGAGAGUUAGACUUCGGCCUGUGACCACGUCCUGUCGCUGCUGGGCAAGGCUGGUGCUGGCUUUGUCGUGGUCCGUUAAAGACCACCGGUGCCCGUUUUGGCGGAGUCCUUAGGCGGAACGUUCCGGCGAAGCCUCCAGACGACGUGAAGGCUGGGGACUCGCUGGGUGACGGCGGCUCCGUCCUGGACUUCAUGUCGAUGAAGUCCUACUCGGACGCCUCUCUGGACAUCUCCGCGCUCGGCUC